GAAGAGCCCAAACCAAUAAGCUUGCUUAUUGGGGUUGUAGGACACUCUGUACGGAGUUACAAAAGAAUUUGUUAGACGAAUAACCUGGAAAGGUUAAUCAUAGAAGGUAAUAAUCCUGUAGUCGAAAGCGAAUUCUCUCUUGAGUGGAUCCUGAGUACGACGGAGCACGUGAAAUUCCGUCGGAAUCUGGGAGGACCAUCUCCUAAGGCUAAAUACUCUCUAGUGACC
rnacentral:rRNA from 1 species